UACGUAGGGUGCAAGCGUUGUCCGGAUUUAUUGGGCGUAAAGAGCUCGUAGGCGGUUUAGAAAGUCAGGUGUGAAACCUCCAGGCUCAACCUGGAGACGCCACUUGAUACUUCUAUGACUUGAGUUCGGUAGGGGUAAGCGGAAUUCCUGGUGUAGCGGUGAAAUGCGCAGAUAUCAGGAGGAACACCGAUGGCGAAGGCAGCUUACUGGGCCGAUACUGACGCUGAGGAGCGAAAGCGUGGGGAGCGAACAGG
rnacentral:rRNA from 1 species